UGGGGAAUUUUGGACAAUGGGCGCAAGCCUGAUCCAGCAAUGCCGCGUGCAGGAUGAAGGCCUUCGGGUUGUAAACUGCUUUUGUACGGAACGAAAAAGCUCUCUCUAAUACAGGGGGUGAAUGACGGUACCGUAAGAAUAAGCACCGGCUAACUACGUGCCAGCAGCCGCGGUAAUACGUAGGGUGCGGGCGUUAAUCGGAAUUACUGGGCGUAAAGCGUGCGCAGGCGGUUUUGUAAGACAGAUGUGAAAUCCCCGGGCUUAACCUGGGAACUGCGUUUGUGACUGCAAGGCUGGAGUACGGCAGAGGGGGGUGGAAUUCCACGUGUAGCAGUGAAAUGCGUAGAGAUGUGGAGGAACACCGAUGGCGAAGGCAGCCCCCUGGGCCUGUACUGACGCUCAUGCACGAAAGCGUGGGGAGCAAACA
rnacentral:rRNA from 1 species